GGCCGUUCCACCCCCGCGGGCUGCACCACUGCCCCGCGGGGUGGCACCUGUGCAUGGGCGCGGAACGAGCACGCCAUGGGGGAGCCGGCGGGCGAGAGGCGCUGGGAGGGGAGAGAGGAGCCCAAGCCUUCCUUCCCGGGCGUACUUGGCCGUUCUCGUACUCCCGCGGCCGUCCCCUAGCACUCCCCAACGGAGGUUGGUACAGCCCGCAGCUGUAGCGUGGGCCGGGAGAUGGAGCACGUGCGGGCCAGGCGGAGCACGCGCGGGCCUUACGAUUUCUCCCUAUUGGCAGGACCACCUUUUGGCAGCAGAGGCUGAAAUCCCAACUCUCUUCAGUCUACUAAUAAGAACAAUAGAAGUCUUCCUGGAGGAUAAUCUAACUGGGGCUCGGAGCUAAUGUCGCCCAUCAUCAGAGCAAUCGCAAGGCUUCAUCUGUGGAAACCAGGGUCCGAGUGCCGGCGCAGCAGAGGCUGCCACCGCCGACCCCGAUUAGACCGAGGGGGACUCGUGGGAGCCAGCAAGAAACAACAAGGCUGUUUUAUUCCCUUCAUCACCCUCCCGCGGCCACGGUGGCGGAGUCUCUGCCACUAUGGCCAUCGUUAAGCCUUGUGGCCUGCGGUUCCUGGGAGGGACCGAGAUCCUCCAGUCAAGACGCCAGGAAUGGGAACAGCCUGCAAUCACGACAUCUCAGGACAAGGGCACCUCACUGCAACUCUCUCCCAGGCAACUCUAACAAUCGUGUGCAAAAGUUAGUGCACACACUAACACCACUGCUUGCAGGCAGGCUGCCAGCUACCGACAGAGCCAAGAUUUGAACUUGGGUCUCAGGGUCCCCAGCCCCAGUUUCCCUUGCCUAUGCCACGCUGACCUUGCCACAGAACCCCAUAAGAGUGGAGAGAAGGAGCCUAUGGAGGUGUGGGCUCAUGGCUCACCUGCCCGGCUCAAGGUGCUAUUCAGAUCCUAGUCCCUUCUGAUUCACAGACAUUAUGUGUGUGACUUCCAGGGGCGGAAUCUGAGGCUCGGGGAGAAUGGGUGCGCUUGGCGUCUGUGGUGGCUGAGAAACGGCCCCACCACAGGCAGCCACAUGCUAGCCCCUAGGGGCUGUGGAUGCCACCUCAUGUGGCUGAGAUCUCUUUGCUGACGUGACCGUGUUCAGGUGUUUAUUUUUAUUUUUUUAAGAUUUAUUUAUUUGAAAGGCAGAGUCACACACACACACACACACAGAGAGACAGAGAGAGAGAGAGGUCUUCAAGCUGCUGGUUCACUCCCCAAAUGGAUGCAAUGGCUGGAGUUGGGCCAGGCUGAAGCCAGGAGCCAGGAGCUCCAUCCAGGUCUCCCACAUGGGAGCAGGGGCCCAAACACUUGGGCCAUCUUCCGCUGCCUUCUCAGGCACGUUAGCAAGAAGCUGAGUGGGAAGCAGAGCAGCCGGGACUUUUACUGGUGUCCGGUCACGGGCCGUGGGUGCAGCAAGCAGUGGCUUAUGUGCCGCAGCGCCGGCCACCUAUGUUAGGGCUUGAGUUGCAGGGAGUCUCCUGGGCUCUACAUGUAGCAGGAAGUAUCCUUGUAAGCGGGGCGUAGAGAGAGAGUUUAGCAGGCACAGGUGGCAGCAGUGACGUCACGAGGGUAGCAGAGUGCUCUGAGGAGAGAAGGAGGCCCCUGGGCCGGGGAACGUCACUGUAGAUCCUGGAAAUGGCGGGGAAAGAGAUGGCCCUGGAGCCUGUGAGGGGAUCGGACUGCUGUCGCCCUGACCUUGCACUUCCGGCGUGGACCCUGCUGUUCUGAGCAGCAAUUCUCUACAGCGGCCUCAGAAAGCCAAUACGGCAUUAAUCCCACCGCCAGCUUUCUAAUGUAGGCUUAUCAUUUUGUACUAGCUUUAGGUUGACAGAGAAGUUGCGGACUGCAUGGCCUCAUCCCAGAACAUUCCCCUGUGCAGCACUGUGCAUGGCUGUUGUCUGUGUCAUGGCCCAGAGCCAAGGUUGGGUGUUGCCAUCGAGCAGGCUCCAGUCUUUCCGGUUUCACCGUGACUCCAGGUGACUGCCGCCUGGCCACACCACGCUUACUUGGUGCUCUUCUCAGCCUCCCCUGGUCUGGGGCAGUUGCUCAGGCUUCCCUUGCCUCUGGUGACCUCUCGUUUGGAGGACUGUGCGUCAGAUAUUUUGUAGAAUGCCCCUGAAUUUGGAUGCAUGUUAUGUUUUCGCCUGGGAAUGCGGGCUUUGGGGAGGCGAAGUGGCAUGCCAUCCUCACCACAGCACAGGGGACACUGUCAACAUGACAGCACUGGGGAGAGUAACCUUGGCCCCCUGCCCAAGGUUUUUCCACUGUACAGUUACCCCAUGUCUGUCCCUCCACACCCAACCCUUCCCAUCCUGCGCCCUUGGAGGCAAGUCACGGAGCACUCCAAGUUCACCUGGGAGGGGGUUGUGCUCCCGUGCCUGGGGGGGGGGGAACAGCCCCGUGAAUUACUCCGGAAUCUUCUGUGAGGGAGAGUUCUCUUCUCUUCCAUUGCUUUAGUCUCCGAUCACUUACAUCAGCACUCGCUCACAGAUCCUUUCGCGCUCUGGGUUAGCAUCCCAAUACUACAUCAUUUACCUUGCCGCUCCCGUGGUUCCAGCUUGGCCGCUGGCAGCUUCUGCAGUUUGCUCCCGGGUGAGACACACCCCAUCAUCCUGUUUUUGGAAUUCCUCUUGAGUUCCUGCUGCUAUGAGAGUCCUUGGGCUCACCUGGGAUUGUCCCUGCCCCAGCUCUAGAACCAGCCAUUUCCCCAGGCAUCUCAGGAACCACCCCCCCCCUUUUUUUUUUUAAGAAUGGUGUUAGAAACUAAGAUCUGGGCUCUAGGUGUGCUAAUUCCUAUUGGGGUGCCAUUGCUACUGGGUUCUCUCAGAAGACAGAGCUAGGAAAAUCUGUGGAUGCAUGUUUCUGGGUCUUUCUGGGUCAGUUCACGGCGAAGUCUCCCACUCUUAUCCCUUACCACACGCAUCCGUCUGGCUCCCUCCCUUUCCCACAGGGAGAAAACUGGCUGCCACCACCCAUUUGUCUGUCUGUUCCCUCUCACACGCAAGCACAGCGGUUUCGGAAUUUUUAACGUGCUCCCUGUGAGCAAUUCAGCUUUACCCACCACAAUGCAGUGUUAUGUGCAUUUUGUUUUGAUGUUCGUCUUACAGUUUCCAGCCAAAAUACUCUUUCUCCAAGUCACUCAAGCCAGCACCUGUAUUCCUUCAUUCCCUGAACCGCAGGUCUCACCUGCAUUUACUGGGCAACCAAGAUUCUUUCUUCAGCUGGCGCUGUGGCUCACUAGGCUAAUCCUCUGCCUGAGGUGCCGGCACCCCAGGUUCUAGUCCAGGUCGGGGCGCCAGAUUCUGUCCCGGUUGCUCCUCUUGCAGGCCAGCUCUCUGCUGUGGCCUGGGAGUGCAGUGGAGGAUGGCCCAGGUCCUUGGGCCCUGCACCCGCAUGGGAGACCAAGAAGAGGCACCUGGCUCCUGGCUUCAGAUUGGCACAGUGCGCCGGCUGCAGCAGCCAUUUGGGGGGUGAACCAAUGGAAAAAGAAAGACCUUGGGGCUGGCACUGUGGCGUAGUGGGUUAAGCCUCCGCUUGCCAUGCCAGCAUCCCAUAUGGGGGCCGGUUUGUGUCCUGGCUGUUCCACUUCUGAUCCAGGUCUCUGUUAUAACCCAGGAAAGCAGUGGAAGAGGUCCAGGUCUUUGAGCCCCUGUACCCACAUGGGGGACCCAGGAAAAGCUCCUGGCUCCUAGUUUUCAUCUGGCCCAACCCUAGCUGUUGUGGCCAUUUGGAGAGUGAACCAGCAGAUGGAAGACCUCGCUCUCCCUGUCUCUCCCUCUGUCUGUAACUCUGCCUCUCAAAUAAAUAAAUCCUUUAAAAAAAAAAAAGAAAAAGAAAAAGAAAGACCUUUCUCUCUGUCUCUCUCACUGUCUAACUCUGCCUGUCAAAAAAAAAAAAAAAGAUUCUUUCUGCAGAGUCUUCAUUCUGCUCCGGGAUGCUCAACUUUGGACUCAUUUUAAUAAUUUAAUUUCAAUACACUAAAAUUGACUUGUGGGUUUUUAUUUCACAAUAUUUUUUAAAAUAUUUACCUGAAUUCUUCAAGCCUUUUUUUUAAAAGUUUUAUUUAUUUACUUGCAUUUAUUUGAAAGCAGAGAGAGAGAAUCAUCAUCUGCUGGUUCACUCUCCAAAUGCCCACAGCAGCCGUGGCUGGGCAAGGCCAAAGCCAGAGCCCCCGUGUGGAUGGCAAGGAGUCAAGUGCUUGAUCCUGCUGCUUCCCAAAGUGCCUGUUAGCAGGAAGCUGGAUGGGAAGAGGAGUAGCUAGGACUGGAAGCAGGCACUCCGAUGUGGGGUGCUGGUGUCACAGGCAGCGUCCUAGCCACUGGGCCAGUUGCUAGCCCCUACUUUGUGGGUUUGUGUAUGCAGGUCUACAAUUCCAGGCAGAUUGUUCCACUACCCGAGAAAUUCCCUACGGUUCUCCAGGCAAAGGCUGCCUGAACCCCUGGUAACGGCUGAUCCGGUUCUCAUGUCAGUAUCUUACCCUUCUCUGGAACAUCACGUGGAUGAAAUCACAGUGUGUGGUCGUUAAGUCUGACUUAGCAAAAUGUGCUCAAGAUUCCCGCUACAGCGUGGUCUGGGGACCCGACCUGGGCAGAAACGGCAGAGCAGAGCGGUGCGGCUGAGCCAUUUUAUCGCUGUUGGAACUGAUACAAAGUUGUAUUUUUAAAAUUUUUUCAUUUUAUUUUUUAUUUUUAUAAUAAUAAAUA